UCCAAUUUCUCGAUGCACACGG
rnacentral:siRNA from 1 species